rnacentral:sRNA from 1 species
UUUUGACUGUGUAAAAACUUUUGGCAUAUGAGUUGUAUAUUUCAUGUAGUUAAACAGUAAUCUUUUCCUUUAUGGAUUCCAAUUUUUAAAUGGUUUAUAUUUUUAGCUAAAUUUUCAGGAGUGAAAAGAAAAAGAGGAAGGAAGAAAUCCCUCUCAGGCAAUCAUGUACAGCCACCUGAAACAAUGAAAUGUAAUACAUUCGUAAGACAAGUGAAAGAAGAGCAUGGCAGACACACAGGUUUGCACUAAGUGUUGUCUGUAACAAAUAUGGCCUACAAUACUUAUAAGAAUGUCAACCCACCUGUUUCAAACUUGGUAUCCCGCCUAAAUCUUUAUUCUUCUAGGCCUGUGGUAAUUAAUUAGUAUAAAUCUUUAUCAUAACUAUCCAUUGUAUUGUAAUCCCAGCAUAUCAAGAUAACUUAGGUUGGAAUGGUCCAUUGCCUUCAGUAUUAAGAAAAGAUAGACUUCUAUUAAUAAAGACACAGACAGGCUUGCCUGAGCUCAGAAUCCAGCAAUGUGUCACCCCUCACACUGUGACCCCUGUAACUGUAGUUCUCUGUUCUUUAAAGAAAUAGACAUUCCACUAACAACACAUACAAACUGUGACAAGAAGUGACAGGGACUGUUAUGUCAAAGACUUAAGGGUAAUUUUUUAAAAUCCUCUUAAUUCAACUACAUAUCGGGUACAGUGUACACUGCUCAGGUGACAGGUGCACCAACAUCUCAGAAAUCACCACUGAAGAACUUAUCCAUGUAACCUGAAACCACCUGUUCCCCAAAAGGUAUUGAAAUUUAAAAAAUUACAGUUUUAUAUGUUUAAAAAAGCCUCUUAAUUCAUAUAGUUAUUGUAAGCAGAGAAAUUUUCAUUUUUACUUUUUCUAAAAUUUUAUUCAUUGUUUCAGCUGGACAAAAAAAUGAGGUAUGAUGAAAUUAUAAUUAAUAGAAAGGGUGAAGGUGCUGUAUUAUUUUACUAAGUAUGCGCAUCCACCACUAGGCAAGGUCUGAAGAAAUAAGCAUAAAGUAAUUUAUGAUUAGCUGCCCUAAGACUAUUUCCUUCUUAAAUGUUUGUCUUAUUC